rnacentral:rRNA from 1 species
AAUAGAUACCCAGGUAGUCCACGCCGUAAACGUUGGGCACUAGGUGUGGGGUCUAUUCAACGGACUCCGUGCCGUAGCUAACGCAUUAAGUGCCCCGCCUGGGGAGUACGGCCGCAAGGCUAAAACUCAAAGGAAUUGACGGGGGCCCGCACAAGCAGCGGAGCAUGUUGCUUAAUUCGAGGCAACGCGAAGAACCUUACCUGGGUUUGACAUGUAGAGAGAAGCCAUAGAGAUAUGGUGUCCUGGGUUCUACACAGGUGGUGCAUGGUUGUCGUCAGCUCGUGUCGUGAGAUGUUGGGUUAAGUCCCGCAACGAGCGCAACCCUUGUCCUAUGUUGCCAGCACGUCAUGGUGGGGACUCGUAGGAGACUGCCGGGGUCAACUCGGAGGAAGGUGGGGACGACGUCAAAUCAUCAUGCCCCUUAUAUCCAGGGCUGCAAACAUGCUACAAUGGCCGGUACAAAGGGCUGCGAAACCGCGAGGUGGAGCGAAUCCCAUAAAGCCGGUCUCAGUUCGGAUUGGAGU